rnacentral:rRNA from 1 species
GAAACGGACGCUAAUACCGCAUACGUCCUACGGGAGAAAGUGGGGGAUCUUCGGACCUCACGCUAUCAGAUGAGCCUAGGUCGGAUUAGCUAGUUGGUGAGGUAAUGGCUCACCAAGGCGACGAUCCGUAACUGGUCUGAGAGGAUGAUCAGUCACACUGGAACUGAGACACGGUCCAG